AUUUCUUAUGCUGACAGUAAUUGCAGGUUUUUACCCUUCUUUUGCUGCACUGCUCAUGCAUUCAUUUACUUAAUUUGCUUGUGUGUGCAUACAGCAGACUCUAGGACAUAAAUAUAGCUUUAUAUCUCACCUAAGCUACAGGAUGUCUCAGACAUGUCAACAUGGAUAUGUACGCUUCGCUUCCGUUAAUGGGAUUCUGCCAAAGCCGUGCGUGUACUAAGUCAUAUUUCAGUUUGCGUGCAAUUACCCCUUAACCUCAAUAAUGUAAUGGCUUACUGGGCUUCCCAGGCAACUAUUAAUCUCUAAAGCUACUUCAUUAGCAAUUAUACAUGAAGGAGAAAUUGCGAGUCAGGUAGUUGUUGAGAAACAAACAUUCCUGUUAGCUGACACUGAUGUUUGUGAGGGAGAAGGGCACGGGGAUUGCAGUGUGGAGCAUUAGCUGUGGGUCACAUUCAGGACUUGGCUCGUUAUUUCAGUUCACCUGCAGCGCACCUCAGACUCCUUGAUUAGCCUGACAACUGGCUGCUUGUCCAUCAAAAUGUGCUCUCGGGUCUGAUGAAAAGGUUUGGGUGGUAGAGGCCGUAAUGGAUUCGGGAAGGACAAAAAUGGAAAGUGAGCGGACAUCCAGUAAUUGUAUUGCCAGUGUGCUCAGACCUGUUGGCAGCACUCUGUGAUUAAAGAGUCCAGCUGGCAGGAGACAACAAAGGAGAGGAUGCAGCCCUUCUGCCAACUUUUGUCUUGGAAUUACAGCAACAUUAUCGUCAUGCCAGAACCAGAGCCGGGGAGAGCAGGCAUUGUAACGGGCCUCAGCAACUUCUAUAGACAUAGCUAUCGGCAGAGUCAAAGAGACCUACGAGGAUGCUGGAGGAAGCUAAGAAGAGAAAAGGAAAGCGAAGAUACCGGACACGAGAGGCAAGAGGACAUUUCUACCAGCCGUUUCCUGUGCAAAGCUAACUGA
rnacentral:lncRNA from 15 species